rnacentral:rRNA from 1 species
CCAAUAGCGUAUAUUAAAGUUGUUGCAGUUAAAAAGCUCGUAGUUGAACUUCGGGGUUUACUUAUUGGUCAGGCUUAAUUGUCUGUACUGGUGAGAUGAAUCUCUACCUUCUGAGGAACUUUCAUGUCAUUUCUUUGGUGUGAUUGGAAAUCAGGACUGUUACUUUGAAAAAAUUAGAGUGUUUAAAGCAGGCUAACGUCUGAAUACAUUAGCAUGGAAUAAUGAAAUAGGACGGACUGAUUCUAUUUCGUUGGUUUCUAGGAUCACCGUAAUGAUUAAUAGGGAUAGUUGGGGGCAUUAGUAUUCAAUUGUCAGAGGUGAAAUUCUUGGAUUUAUUGAAGACUAACUACUGCGAAAGCAUUUGCCAAGGAUGUUUUCAUUAAUCAAGAACGAAAGUUAGGGGAUCGAAGACGAUCAGAUACCGUCGUAGUCUUAACCAUAAACUAUGCCGACUAGGGAUCGGACGAAGUUAAUUUUAUAAUGACGCGUUCGGCACCUUACG